AUUUCAACGAUUAACUCUUCGCUCUACGUAAUUUAAUCGGCCCAAACACUAACUUUAGUCCUUGUUAAUAAAAGACCAUUCUCAGUAAGAACUAUAACCUCCUCCUCCUAUUCCCUUCCCGGUCAACUUCUCUCUCUAUCCCCUUCGUUCCAUUUUCCCCAAAUUCAUCAAAUUCCUUCCUACAUCAGAGGCGGCGUCUCCACUCCUUCCCUUUCUCCAGCGAGUUCGUCGCCAAUCGCCCAUCUCUCCACCGUCAUCUCCUCCGGCCAUCGUCGCAGUUCCUGCUGCGUGGCCUCUUAGGGUGCUCGUGGGGCAGCAGCAGCGCCGUCCGCCACUUCUCCUGCUGCCCGCUGUUUCACUCCCGUUGGCGCUUGAGAUGGACGAAGCCGCCGCCGCUGCUGUGUCUCCAUCGUUGUUCGACCGUGGACAGGACAGGGGUUCUCCGGCGCGCGGUGAGCUGUUGUGGCAGUGGGGGAGGAUUUGGCCACUUCCGUGAACGACGCGUGGAGUUGGGGAAUUAUAUUGGGCUGCCAGAAAGAGAAGAUGAGAGUUGGGCCUUUCCAUGAUGACUCCAAAAUUUAAGAAGUGGGCUGGGAUUUAAUUGAUAGGCCCACAUGUACACUUUUAAUUUCUUGAAUUCCAUUUCAUAGUUUUAGAGAUGUAUAAUGGUAGUUAAACUUGUAAAAUUAAAAAGUUUGGUUCCAUUAGUGUGACAAUAUGCUCACUUAUGUAUGACAUUUCACUUACUAGAAUUAUAUUAUUCUUUGAUCC